AUGUUUGAAGAAUCAGUCCAAAAUCAACUUUUUUUGCUAAAACAGUUCCUGAGCCUAGUUUCUGUUGCUAUUUCAGUCCAAUAAAUUAACACCGUUAGAACCUCCGUUAAUGAAUGGGUAAAACUGCUAAAUUCGUCCCUGAGGUUUGAUUCAAGUUGCUAGAUCAGUCCAAAAUCAAGUUUUUUGAAUUUGUUAAUUAUAAACUUAUUUAGGUAUAUAAUUUUUCUAGACUUGCAUUAAUUUUUUGAAUUUGUUAAUUAUAAACUUAUGUAGAUUAUAAACUUAUUUAGGUAUAUAAAUAAUUAAUAUCACAAGAUUAUAAACUUAUUUAAGGCGGGUCCAGUUAUAUUUAUGUUCGUUGAAUAAAUCAUUAAUAUCACAAGAGAAAAAAAUGGUAAAUGACAGGUUCUUAAUGCAUCAAUACUUGUACCAAAUGCAUUAUAUAUUUUCUUAAAUGUCUUAAAAUUUAAGAUAAAUUACAAGUCUACCCUAAAUAUAUAAUUUAAAUUUGUGUUUAGUUAUAAAAAUAUAAACAGAAUGUAGCUCUUUUGGAGAGCGCAAUUUUAUUUGACCUGUCUUAAACACUGGUUUGACCCGAACCCGUUUUGACUCAAACCAAAAUAAUCCUUUUUAUGAGACUUGUUCUGGCACGACAUGUUGUCCGACCUCACCUGAAUGAUAAGUAUUAUUAAAUAAGAAACCACUUAAUUAAGUAGAAAAAAUGAAUAAAAGAACUUUAUAAUACAAAU
rnacentral:lncRNA from 1 species